CGAACGCUUCUUUUUCCACCGGAGCUUGCUCCACCGGAAAAAGAGGAGUGGCGAACGGGUGAGUAACACGUGGGUAACCUGCCCAUCAGAAGGGGAUAACACUUGGAAACAGGUGCUAAUACCGUAUAACAAUCAAAACCGCAUGGUUUUGAUUUGAAAGGCGCUUUCGGGUGUCGCUGAUGGAUGGACCCGCGGUGCAUUAGCUAGUUGGUGAGGUAACGGCUCACCAAGGCCACGAUGCAUAGCCGACCUGAGAGGGUGAUCGGCCACAUUGGGACUGAGACACGGCCCAAACUCCUACGGGAGGCAGCAGUAGGGAAUCUUCGGCAAUGGACGAAAGUCUGACCGAGCAACGCCGCGUGAGUGAAGAAGGUUUUCGGAUCGUAAAACUCUGUUGUUAGAGAAGAACAAGGAUGAGAGUAACUGUUCAUCCCUUGACGGUAUCUAACCAGAAAGCCACGGCUAACUACGUGCCAGCAGCCGCGGUAAUACGUAGGUGGCAAGCGUUGUCCGGAUUUAUUGGGCGUAAAGCGAGCGCAGGCGGUUUCUUAAGUCUGAUGUGAAAGCCCCCGGCUCAACCGGGGAGGGUCAUUGGAAACUGGGAGACUUGAGUGCAGAAGAGGAGAGUGGAAUUCCAUGUGUAGCGGUGAAAUGCGUAGAUAUAUGGAGGAACACCAGUGGCGAAGGCGGCUCUCUGGUCUGUAACUGACGCUGAGGCUCGAAAGCGUGGGGAGCAAACAGGAUUAGAUACCCUGGUAGUCCACGCCGUAAACGAUGAGUGCUAAGUGUUGGAGGGUUUCCGCCCUUCAGUGCUGCAGCUAACGCAUUAAGCACUCCGCCUGGGGAGUACGACCGCAAGGUUGAAACUCAAAGGAAUUGACGGGGGCCCGCACAAGCGGUGGAGCAUGUGGUUUAAUUCGAAGCAACGCGAAGAACCUUACCAGGUCUUGACAUCCUUUGACCACUCUAGAGAUAGAGCUUCCCCUUCGGGGGCAAAGUGACAGGUGGUGCAUGGUUGUCGUCAGCUCGUGUCGUGAGAUGUUGGGUUAAGUCCCGCAACGAGCGCAACCCUUAUUGUUAGUUGCCAUCAUUCAGUUGGGCACUCUAGCAAGACUGCCGGUGACAACCGGAGGAAGGWGGGGAUGACGUCAAUCAUCAUGCC
rnacentral:rRNA from 1 species